CAGGUAUUUAAAUUUUCAAAUUCAAAUUUCAAUGGUAAAAUUUACUUGUACAAAAUCAGGUAUUAUAUAUAUAAUUCACCCAAUUCAAUAAAAAACCCUAAAUCAUUUCCCCCAUUUUCAAUCUCGUCUCUCGUCUCUCUUCCCUCUCUCUUUUCAUAGUGGCAGAGACGUUGCCGCUACAUCUGAAGAUUAGCAUCGGUUUCGAUGUGAGACUGGCGCCACUGCAAGAGGCGCGACAACGACCUCUACCCAGGAACACCACUACUGCGCAGAGAUACACCAGAAGAAGAGAAGUCGCGAUCAGAGUUUCGAUGCAAUAGGCGCUAAGCCGUCAGUUUUCUCUCCUCUUUUUCACGAAUUGUCGUCGUAUCCAAUGGCGCCGCACCUUUCCUACGGCGUCGCGAAUUCAAAGUCACACCUUAAUUUGAGCGCCAGCGUUGCCCGACGUUGUCGUGGCUAUGCUCACAAUUGAAUCACAAUGCCGCUUUUGAAGGUUUCUAGGCAUUGUACAGUGGUUUUCUUGUGAUUUUUAUGGCAUGUUUUGUUGCAAUUUUGAGGUUGUAUAGUGUGUUGUGGUGGUGGUGGGUUUGUGAUUCUUUGGUGGGUGUGGUGUAAAUGGAGAUAGAGGAGAUGGUGGUAGUGGUGGUGUGAUGUACGAUAGUGCUGUGUUGUGGACGUGGUGGUGUUAUAGGUACAGUGGUGUUCAAGAUGGUGGUGACAGGAAACGGUGGUGCCCAACUAUUGUUGUGUUGUUGUCGAUGAUGUUGGUGGUGGUUGAUACGGUGGUGGUGAUGGGUGGGGGUGUCUGUGACCAACCAUUUA
rnacentral:lncRNA from 1 species